GUGCUCACUUUGGCAGCACAUAGACUAAAAUUGAAAUGAUACAGAGAGGAUUACUGUAGUCCCUGUGCAUGGAUGACACAAAUUCUUCAAGCAUUCCGUAUUUUG